AGCAGCCGCGGUAAUUCCAGCUCCAAUAGCGUAUAUUAAAGUUGUUGCAGUUAAAAAGCUCGUAGUUGAAUUUUAGGCCUGGCCGGGCGGUCCGUCUUUGGCGAGUACUGUUCUGUGUCGGGUCUUACCUUCUGGUAAACCGGCAUGUUCCUUUAUCGUGUAUGCCGGGGAACCAGGACCAUUACCUUGAAAAAAUUAGAGUGUUUAAAGCGGGCUUUUGCUUGAAUAGAUUAGCAUGGAAUAAUAAAAUAGGACGUUGGUUCUAUUUUGUUGGUCUAGGACCACCGUAAUGAUUAAUAGGGAUAGUUGGGGGCAUUAGUAUUCAAUUGUCAGAGGUGAAAUUCUUGGAUUUAUUGAAGACUAACUAUUGCGAAAGCAUUUGCCAAGGAUGUUUUCAUUAAUCAAGAACGAAAGUUAGGGGAUCGAAGACGAUCAGAUACCGUCGUAGUCUUAACCAUAAACUAUGCCGACUAGGAAUCGGGCGACGUUAUUUCACGACUCGCUCGGCGCCUUAUGGGAA
rnacentral:rRNA from 1 species